UUGAACGCUGGCGGCAGGCCUAACACAUGCAAGUCGAACGGUAACAGGAAGAAGCUUGCUUCUUUGCUGACGAGUGGCGGACGGGUGAGUAAUGUCUGGGAAGCUGCCUGAUGGAGGGGGAUAACUACUGGAAACGGUAGCUAAUACCGCAUAACGUCGCAAGACCAAAGAGGGGGACCUUCGGGCCUCUUGCCAUCGGAUGUGCCCAGAUGGGAUUAGCUAGUAGGUGGGGUAACGGCUCACCUAGGCGACGAUCCCUAGCUGGUCUGAGAGGAUGACCAGCCACACUGGAACUGAGACACGGUCCAGACUCCUACGGGAGGCAGCAGUGGGGAAUAUUGCACAAUGGGCGCAAGCCUGAUGCAGCCAUGCCGCGUGUAUGAAGAAGGCCUUCGGGUUGUAAAGUACUUUCAGCGGGGAGGAAGGGAGUAAAGUUAAUACCUUUGCUCAUUGACGUUACCCGCAGAAGAAGCACCGGCUAACUCCGUG
rnacentral:rRNA from 1 species